GGUACAUACACAUAUGUACAUAUGUAUGUAUGUAUAUACAAGCCCAUAUUUCUACUCUGCGAACUGGUUUAGUCAUCCAAUAAAUUACAUGUAUUAUAUAUAACACUAAUUUUGCAAACAGAAUAGAUGACUACUGAUAUACUAAACGAAGACGUUUUUAUGUACAUAUAUUAAAUUGUUUGCGGGGACACAAAUUAGUCAAAGAAAUAUAGCACACAUCCCAUACAGUGAGCCAUAUACAAAAUUGGACACUUCACACUGGAAACUUUAAACUUAAAUAAGAAAGUAAAUUUUUUUUUUUCAAAUUCAAUCCAAGUCUAAAUAUCGAUAUGUCAUCGAUUCAACCAAAGAUUUUAGCGUUGACCUGCCCAUUGAAGCCCAUUCUAGCUAUAUUGUCAUUUUUAAUUAUUUUACGGUAUAAAACUGGCGCUCAUUUUUAGAAAAUUUAGCAGAUAAUAAUACAUACAGAUCCUCGAUAGGGUUCAAUUGCGGGCUUUUUACUCGCCACUACAAAAGUGGAAUUCUUCUAUACUCGAAAAACCUUUUAGUAAGUGUUGCAUUGUGGAUCGGUGUCAAGCAAAUCCAAAUACAUCGGUGCUUUCACAUCACAAUACAACCACCGCCUUGUACUCGACGUAUACAGGUGCGCCGAGGGUUUAGUGUAUGAUGCCAAUACUUCUUAUAACAAUCUUUCACCGUUGAAUACCACGCUUCGUCACUAUUUGUCCCAAAAUUGGUAUUUAUGUAUCUGUAAAUGCUAAACGAGCGCUUAUGUGUCUAGGCAAAAAGGUCCGGCUGUGAUGCCAUAGAAAGGAGUUUUGUGAUAGGAUUUUGAUGUUGUAUUUGGCAAAUUCUAAUUUUUUUACAGUUAAACCCAAAUAACGCUUUAUUUGUGAACAACUCAGUUCAUCAAUUAGUGCAUGGUGGUAAAUUUGAUCUUUGCAUCGAUCAUCUAUUUUGGUUUUUCUACCACUGCUCUUAUUAGUACCAUAUUUUGGUUUGUAGGAAAUUACUAUUUGUAUUUCAAUAGCGGUUUAUUACUGCGCUAAUUUCUUUUAUGCUUAAACCACUUUCAUGCAAACCUAGUGCUAGUUCCGGCUCAAAUUCUGAAAGACUUGUACCACGCGGCAUAUUUGACUACAAAUCCGAAACUAUUGACUAGAUUUUCAUUUUUAUUUUAAAUUAAUUACUUACUUUUAAGAGGCUUUACUAAAAUUUCAAAUCGAUAUCACACAUUCUUUUUUAGAUACAGCCAUUUAAAGGGCGGCUGCCCAGUUCAAUCCGCUCCAUCAGUCAGUCCGCGUUUGUCUCGAAACAGCAUUUUUCGAAUUCGCUUUAGUGAUAACUCGAAGACAAAUGUUCCGAUCACCAUGAAAUUUGUAUCUGCCUGUUCUGUUUCAUCCACGGAGAAGGCCGGAAUCACUGCAGCAGUGGAUCUUUUUUUUAGCGUCCGACGGAGAUCUUGAAACAUGUAUAAAUAUACCCUGAAUAUUUCUAAACAAUCGAUGCAGUGGUUUUUUUUUUUAAUUACCAAAAAUUAUCUUUUUUAGGCUGUCACACUAGGUUAAUAUAAAGUUUUGUUAACACCUGAAGGUAUUUAACCGGUUUUGAUGUUACAAGAUUAUGAAAUGUUCAGUUACAGGCCUUCAGGUAUAUUAGUCUCACUUCUUCAAGCUAAAAGGUAUGCCAAAGAUUAUAGACAACGGUAUAAGAUCGAAGGCGCUGAAAGUCGCACCCCUACACGCAAAUUAGUACGCGUAAGAGCGGGUAGGUCUACUAACACUACUCUGUACCAACUAACGACUGAAAUCCAAAAUUCUAGAGGUGUUAGAGUGUGUCUAACUUAAAUACUUAGGGUUAAUAAUUAGAUCGCACAGUAGACUCCACCUUACGGUGGAAUAGGUAUGUGGAAUUAAACACUAAAGCUACAAAAGCACUCAUAAUAUGCAGACGUCUGGCCAGUACAUCUUGGGGCUGCAAGUAUCAUUAGGUAGCUGUAUACCAUGAUCGUGAGGCCUAUCGUUACAUAUGGAACGGUGGCUUGGGCAUCGAAAGCAUCGCAGACUUAAAUAGGUCUUUAACUAUCAAUGCUGCAAAGACUUGACUGCGUCUGCGCCUGUGGGGUUAUGCGCAUUUGUCUAACCGCAUUACUUGAGGUUAUGCUGGAGCUCACACCGCUCCAUCUAGUGAUCAACCAGACAGCGAAGCAUACCUUAUAACCGCAGAGGUAUGGAUAAAGGAAGAUAAUUUCGUCUCAACAAAUGAAGGGUUUGGCCCUUCUUCCAAGAGACGGUGUUACGAAGAGGGUAAACUUCACAAUAAAGUUUAAAGUUACUCUCGGCAGUAAGGCGGACUUGAGUGAUUCCACACUUGAUCUACUACUAAGGGGCAGCGCUAUUCAGUGGUACAUUGACGGCUCGAAAACACCGGAGGGCAUUGGAGCAGGCAUUGCGGGACCGCAUACCAAGCCUUCCAUACCCAUAGGAUAUUUUCCGAGCACCUUUCAAGCAGAAGUCUGUGCUGUAAGUCAGUGUACAGAAAUUAAUCUCCAACGCAACUAUCGUAACAAGCGUAUCGCUAUAUUCAACGAUAGUCAAGCGGCGCUAAAAGCAAUAUCAGCCUAUGAGAUUAAAUCGCUAUUAGUGGAACAGUGUAUAGGAAGGCUGAACCGCCUAUCAGUUUGCAACCGUGUAUACUUGAUCUGCUGGCCGACGAACUCGCCCGGCUUUGCUGCGGCUUCUGGGAUGAUGGGGCCAAAACCAUGCAUUGCGGUGGGGUCCCACACCAUAAAGGAGCUGCUUCGCACGGAGGAGAGAGUGGGUAGAGAAAGUUACUGACAUCAGGCAAUAGGUAUGGGCCAUGCUAAGCUGCUAUUAGGAGCGUACAACCUGGCAAGGUUCAAAGAUAUGAUCAACCUUCCCAGAGACACAUUCCGUUUCCUUGUCGCGCUUCAUACUGGGCAAUGCAGGUUAAAAAAACACUUGUCCAACAUGGGAAUAGCUUCUUGUGCAAACUGCCGAUUCUGCGACAUGGAGCCGGAAACACCAGAGCACCUGAUUCUAUAUUUCAUAAUACUUACAUCCAUAAUUGCUUCGUUUUCUGCAGGCAACUUUACUGCUUAACGCGCUGUCAAAAUCGAAUUUUCAACCGCUCGGCGUUGCCACCGCGGUUAUUUAGGUAUGCGCCAUACAAAAUUUAUGGAUUGAUUCAAUUACAUAAAGUCCCUACAAGACGGUGGUAACUAAUUCACUACCAUACUUGUAAAAUUUCACUACAUAUUCAAAAAUACUUUUUAAAUGGGAAACUCUGUUGUAACAGUAGCAACUUUAAUCAUACAACAUUUUUCAGUACGAAAGAAUGAGAUUAACAUAUAGACUUACCAUUUUCCAUCAACACUGGCCGGCAUUAUUUGUGAAAAAAAUGUUGAGAUUCCAAAAGCGUUUAUAAAGAAGAGGACGGAGAAAAACUCGCUACCCGAGCUGGAAAUCGAGUGAUAUUUUCCCAAUGUUUGAAAACACCAAUUACUUACAUUGUCUUGAAUCUUCUAGGUUGUAUUGCAUUGCUAUUUGCAGCGCUUCACGCUUUGCACGAAGUAUGUAGCGGAGGAGUUCCGUCUGUCGGCCGAGGCGUUCGAAUGGUUGAUUGGUGAUAUUAAAACGCAUUUCCAGCAGGCAUUAGCUAACACUGGAGAAACAAUUGUUGCUCAUGACCGCGCAAUGCUUAAAUGAACUACUUAUUCAUUUACUCUAUUUUGCUGGUGUCGUCAAAUAAUGCAAAAUUGAGUGUGCGGCGGCGAGAAGACUAAGAAUGUGCUGUGACGUUUUUAGCAUACCAACUUGCGGAAGGUAACGGCCAACACUGCUAUUUAUACGCAGAAGACUGUCAUCUCGGAAGAUCAAGAUUAUGUAAAUGUCUACUAUGAGGUGAGGAUCAAGAAAUCGUAAAUGUCUAUUAGUAGAUGCCCGAUUUCAAUCUAACACACAUUUCGCCAUGGUUGCUGCGUAUCGAAUUGAAAUAUUUGAAGUGUAGGGCAUAGAGGCUGUGCGUAAAUCGGUUGAGAAAGAAAAGAAUGAUGUGCUGAAGUUCUACGGCUUGUACGUAAACUAUCUAGAUGUUAUAUAUAAUUGAAGCCAUAUUUGAUAACGAACAUUGUAUAUACACAUACAUAUGUUGAACUUUAAUUUUUGAAAUUUCUUUUCUUUUGGUUAAUUUUAGCACAAAAAUGAAUUUAAAAGAUUUCUUCAUAUAUAAUCCAAAAUCUUGUUUGUUACCUUAACAUAUGUAGAUAACCCAUGUUAAUCAAUUGUUUGAUUACCAAAGCAAUAGGUCUGUAUCUUAACUGCUAAUUAUCGCUAGUUAGCAAAGUUUCUGCUGGCAAAGCAGUGCGUUCGAACUACGUAACAAUUUUAGCACUACAGCAACUGUGUUGCAUAUGUGCCGAUACUCUGCUGAUGUGCAGACAAAAAUUUAGUGUUGCCGAUUAUUUACAGAAAUUGUACGCAAAAAGUCAUAGUAGAACGAGAUCCUGUUGCAAAUGUUGCCAGAAAUCCAAGCAAAAUGUGAUACUUACUGUAUACAAGCGAUAUUUGUGGCAUUUCCUUUGAUGAUUUGUUUUGAAUUGUGAAAAUAAAGCUUCUAUUCUUAUUUCAAGUGUUUUUAAGAAGUGAUUGUAAAAAACGACAUUUUGAUAUUUUCUUGCUAGUUUCUGCUGGUUUUCGUUUCUUUACUUUUUUUGUUAUUUCUUUGUUUCGUUGUUACAGGAAUUAAACAAUGUUAAAAUUACAGUACAAUUUUUGACUUUUCCUAACUUGUAGCCAAGGUAACCAGCUAUAAUAUCUAUACAUGCAUCAUCUUAGGUACAGUAACAAUUCGUACUAAAAACACAAUUCGUACACAAACAACUAAUUUCAACAAAAGUUAAAAAAAAAAACCCGUUAUGUACAUUUUUAGAACAGCAUUAUGCUCAUCGUUACUGAGUGAUUGUUGUGCCGUUAUCUAUCUUGUGGCGCCACUUAGACGCUGUGAAUUAAAAAAGCAGCCAAAAAGUACUCAAAAAAGUUUAGGUACACCUCAUUCAGCGUGUCAUGCUGUUUUCGAUUUUGUUGCGUUUGAUUAUUAUACUCUCGCAACCUGUUGCUA